ensembl:snoRNA
UCUUACUAACUCUGUGGUUUUGAGCAAAGUAGGAAUCUCUUUGAGCCUCAAUUCCUCAUCUGUAAAAUGAGAAUUAAUGGCAACUUAAUGAGAUAAUG